CCUACGGGGGGCUGCAGUGGGGAAUAUUGGACAAUGGGCGAAAGCCUGAUCCAGCCAUGCCGCGUGUGUGAAGAAGGCCUUCGGGUUGUAAAGCACUUUCAGUGGGGAAGAAAGCCUUGGGGCUAAUACCCUCGAGGAAGGACAUCACCCACAGAAGAAGCACCGGCUAACUCCGUGCCAGCAGCCGCGGUAAUACGGAGGGUGUGAGCGUUAAUCGGAAUUACUGGGCGUAAAGCGCGCGUAGGCGGUCUGAUAAGCCGGUUGUGAAAGCCCCGGGCUCAACCUGGGAACGGCAUCCGGAACUGUCAGGCUAGAGUGCAGGAGAGGAAGGUAGAAUUCCCGGUGUAGCGGUGAAAUGCGUAGAGAUCGGGAGGAAUACCAGUGGCGAAGGCGGCCUUCUGGACUGACACUGACGCUGAGGUGCGAAAGCGUGGGUAGCAAACAGGAUUAGAUACCCGAGUAGUC
rnacentral:rRNA from 1 species